rfam:Schistosoma haematobium scaffold1399_34, whole genome shotgun sequence.
AUCCAACUGACGAAUCCCAAAUAGGACGCAAUGUGUGUCCUGGAU